rnacentral:rRNA from 1 species
AAACCAACCGGGAUUGCCUCAGUAACGGCGAGUGAAGCGGCAAAAAGCUCAAAUUUGAAAUCUGGCACUUUCAGUGUCCGAGUUGUAAUUUGUAGAAGUAGUUUUGGGACUGGUCCUUAUCUAUGUUUCUUGGAACAGGACGUCAUAGAGGGUGAGAACCCGUAUGAUGAGGCCCCCAGUCCUUUGUAAAACGCUUUCGAAGAGUCGAGUUGUUUGGGAAUGCAGCUCUAAGUGGGUGGUAAAUUCCAUCUAAAGCUAAAUAUUGGCGAGAGACCGAUAGCGAACAAGUACAGUGAUGGAAAGAUGAAAAGAACUUUGAAAAGAGAGUGAAAAAGUACGUGAAAUUGUUGAAAGGGAAGGGCAUCUGAUCAGACAUGGUGUUUUGCGCCCUUUGCUCCUUGUGGGCGGAGGAUACGCAGCUCACUGGGCCAACAUCAGUUUUGGGAGCAGGAUAAAUCUGUAGGAACGUAGCUUUCUUCGGGAAUGUUAUAGCCUACGGGAAUACUGCUACCUGGGA